UACGGAAGGUGCGAGCGUUAAUCGGAAUUACUGGGCGUAAAGCGCACGUAGGUGGUUUUAUAAGUCGGAUGUGAAAGCCCCGGGCUUAACCUGGGAAUUGCAUCUGAUACUGUCUGACUAGAGUAUGCUAGAGGGAAGUGGAAUUCCAGGUGUAGCGGUGAAAUGCGUAGAUAUCUGGAGGAACACCAAUGGCGAAGGCAGCUCGCUGGGACGUGACUGACGCUGAGACGCGAAAGCGUGGGGAGCAAACAGG
rnacentral:rRNA from 1 species